GUGCUCACUUCAGCAGCACAUAUACCAAAAUGGGAAUGAUUCAGAGAUUAGCAUGACCCCUGGGCAAAGUUGGUGAAGCCUUCCAUAUUUUC
ensembl:snRNA U6 U6 spliceosomal RNA